ACAGAGGCCCGCCGCGGCUGCGCCAUCCGCGGCCAUGAAGUUUCGGGCCAAGAUCGUGGACGGGGCCUGUCUGAACCACUUCACACGAAUCAGUAACAUGAUAGCCAAGCUUGCCAAAACCUGCACCCUCCGCAUCAGCCCUGAUAAGCUUAACUUCAUCCUUUGUGACAAGCUGGCUAAUGGAGGAGUGAGCAUGUGGUGUGAGCUGGAACAGGAGAACUUCUUCAACGAAUUUCAAAUGGAGGGUGUCUCUGCAGAAAACAAUGAGAUUUAUUUAGAGCUAACAUCGGAAAACUUAUCUCGAGCCUUGAAGACUGCCCAGAAUGCCAGGGCUUUGAAAAUCAAACUGACUAAUAAACACUUUCCCUGCCUCACGGUCUCCGUGGAGCUGGUGAGUAGGAGAGUCAGGGUUUCUGACACAGAAGUCUUGGCCUCGAAGGAAUAGACAUAGUUAGCCUAGCCUUUUUAACAAUAAAUACUGUUGAAAGCUGUUUGGUUUAUUUAAAUUUAAAGAUCUGGUCCAUAACUAUAUUUUGCAUUAGAGUCAG
rnacentral:sRNA from 1 species